GCGCCAGUAGCUCAGCUGGAUAGAGCAACGGCCUUCUAAGCCGUGGGUCCCAGGUUCGAAUCCUGGCUGGCGUACCA
rnacentral:tRNA from 1 species